GCGGGAUAGAGCAGCGGCAGCUCGCCUGGCUCGCCACGGCCAGGAGGUCGGCGGUUCAAAUCCGCCUCCCGCACCA
rnacentral:tRNA from 1 species